UUGAACGCUGGCGGCAUGCCUUACACAUGCAAGUCGAACGGCAGCGGACCUUCGGGUGCCGGCGAGUGGCGAACGGGUGAGUAAUAUAUCGGAACGUACCUUUCAGUGGGGAUAACGUAGCGAAAGUUACGCUAAUACCGCAUAUUCUGUGAGCAGGAAAGCAGGGGAUCGCAAGACCUUGCGCUGAUUGAGCGGCCGAUAUCAGAUUAGCUAGUUGGUGAGGUAAAGGCUCACCAAGGCGACGAUCUGUAGCGGGUCUGAGAGGAUGAUCCGCCACACUGGAACUGAGACACGGUCCAGACUCCUACGGGAGGCAGCAGUGGGGAAUUUUGGACAAUGGGCGCAAGCCUGAUCCAGCCAUGCCGCGUGAGUGAAGAAGGCCUUCGGGUUGUAAAGCUCUUUCGGCCGGGAAGAAAUCGCACAGGUUAAUACCCUGUGUGGAUGACGGUACCGGAAUAAGAAGCACCGGCUAACUACGUG
rnacentral:rRNA from 1 species